rnacentral:lncRNA from 1 species
CUCUGACAGCACCUCAAGUUAAUCUGAGAGCCAUGCAGUAUUUGUAAAGCUGAAAAGACUCCACAAAGAAAUUAUUUGAAAAUCAUUGAAAUCAACGCUUUUGUUAAAACAUGAGGAACAGAAGCUCAGAUUCAGGCUGACAAUUCUCUGCUUAAUGAGUGAACUCAUCUUACCUGGGUGGGCUAAUACCCAACUCCUUAAAUGUGUGUACCAAGGGUAGGUUCAGUUGUGAUGUCAUUGCUCAGACCUGUGACAUGGGCCAGGACUACAAAGACUAUUGUGGAACUGGCAAACCGCAUCAAUGCCAACUGAGCCUGCCUAAUGCCAGGGAAAGGAAGGGAAAAACAAGCUCUGAUCCCUCCAGAAGUCCUGGCUAUGAACCAGCUGUCCAUGAAAAUCAAGAAGCUGAAUAUUUUCUGCUACAGGCAGGAGAAAUUAACAGGGGAGAACAGGAAAAGAAUUGGAGCUUCUCAUGAGCAGGAAAAUGACAGGAGUAAGAAAAGCAGGACAGGUGGAAAUGGACUUUGGACAGGAGUGGGAAUGACUGGAAAAGAGGGAAUGGCUUCCCAGUGCCAGAGGGCAGGGAUAGAUGGGAUAUUGGGCAGGAAUUGUUCCCUGGGAGGGUGGGGAGGCCCUGGCACAGGGUGCCCAGAGCAGCUGUGGCUGCCCCUGGAUCCCUGGAAGUGCCCAAGGCCAGGUUGGACUUUGGGGCUUGGAGCAGCCUGGGAUAGAGGAAGGUGUCCCUGCCCAUGGCAGGGGGUGGGACUGGAUGGGCUUUAAGGUUCCUUCCAAUCCAAAUGAGUUUGGGAUUUUGUGAUCUGCUAAACAUGGUGUCUGGGAUCUGCUCCCCAGUCCUGUGUAACUUUUCUUUCUCAGCACAGAGUUCCAAUCAUGUGGGGUACCUGCAAAGGAUUUUUCCAAAGGGAAGAAAGGCUGGAUAAAGCUCUCAGCCAGGAUGUCCUUUCCCCUCCCCUCUGGGAGCAGAUGCAGGAUGAGCCACAGCCCCUGCAGGGUUUGUGCCUCCAGGGGAUGUGUGUGCCUGAGUGAUGACUCAGCAAGAUCCCAUGCACAGCAAAACAGAAGAGAUAUUCCAAAGGAAAAUGUUUGAUUUUUUUUUAAAUUUUUCUAAGGCUGUCUAAAGGACACAGGAUCACAGUAUUUCUUUACAAACAGUAGGAAAAAUUCUGCUAAAAUCUUCCCGUCUCCAGUUAAAUGCAGAAGAUACUUCCCCAAAAUGGUUUUGUAAAGUUUUUGCUUCAACUCACAAAGUAUGAUUUAUUCCCCAGUCCAAUGUUUCACAUCUUUGGAACAUUAUCCAAUCUAUUUUAAACAUGCAGGCCAAUUCUGAAAUGAAAACUAGGACUUUACAUUUCUUUUCAUUAGUAGAUGCUAAUACUAAAUGUUCUCAAAUUUCCUUUGGAUAAUAUGAAGAUAAAAAGGUAUUUGAUUACUUAAUCAAAUCUAGCUUUUAAAACCAAAACCAAACUUUGACAUGACAUUUUAAAAAUAGUUUUGGUCUAUUCAUUUCUAUUAUCAGUUAAUAGUAAUUCCCAGCUUUGUGAACCAAGACCAGCUUAACCAUCUGGAAAUCAAGAAAUUGGAUCAAAUAUUGGGUUUGGGGGUUUUAAGGUUUUUUGUUUGGUUUUUGGUUUUGUUUUUUUUUAAAUAGAAGCAUAAGGGAAACAGGAGAAAAAAAAUCUCCUGCUGUAAUUUUUCACAAUUCUUCAGGAGAUGUUUCUUUGCAGCUGGAAUGCUUCCAUAGGUAUGGAAGUAGGUGGUUAUAUGUGGAAGGAAAAGUAAGAGAACACAGCCCUCUGUAAUGGGACUUACAAGAAAAAAAAUGGAAGAUAGUAAUUUGGUUUGUUUUCUGAAAUAAGAGAAAAAUUAAGAGAUUUAGAGCAUUUCUAAGGUCUGCUUUGUCUACAAACGUCUGUGGGUUUAGUACCACAUCCACAGGAGGGAAUAAAUAGAAUUUUUUUACUGAUUUGGAAGUUCCU